GACAGAUAUGUGGAAGUUGAUGCAAAACACCAUCUCCACCAGAACUCUGCUAAGAUUCCAGACCAAAUUGAUAUUUGGCUUGAGUUAGCUGGAUGAGCAUCUCAAUUCUCCAGUUUGUCUGUAGAGGCACUUCUGCUUCCCUUUUCCCCACAUGGGAUGCAGUAGAGCCAGAUAAACCACUUGAACUUGUUUUGAUAAAUGUGCCAGGUGCUAAGCUCAGGGUUAUUAGGAAUAAUAAUUCAGUGAAAGGAAAUUUGGAUGACAUGAACUCAUUUCCAUUAGACUUGAGCCACACAAAUCAAUGGGAAAAGAAACAGCUGAAUCCAGGAUAGAAUCCAGGAUACUAUCUGGCUAUUUGGAGUGGGCAUGGUAAUGGAAGGAGAUUGGGGAGGUAACAAACCAGUUGCUAUUUAAUUAAGUUCAAGUCAGGUCAAAUUCAGGACCAAUGGGGCUUGGCCAGUAUCGUCAAGCACCCAGGUAUUAUCAAAACCCAAGUCUUUGUCUCACUCAUGGGCCACACCCUUCCCAGAGAUUUGACCAAUUUUCAGACCAACUCAAAUGUGACUACAUACCCUGACACUGAAGAAGCUCAAACCAAACAACAAACCCAAGUCUUCCGUGUGGCACGUUCUUCACAUCAUAACACCUUUCUCAGGACCCUAGUUCUCAGAAUGGACCUGGCUCUCCCAGGGAUCCUAGAAUGCAAGCACAGUGAUUGCAAACUAAACCAUUUGAGGGAAACUCCUCCAGUAAGCACCCUUCAUGGUCACAAUGUAAACCCUGCAGGGGCAGAAAAGAAGCUUUGGGUGGGGUCAGAAAGCCAUUUCCUCCACAAUCAAAGUUCCUUACUGUUGUCCUAGUAGGGGCAACCUUAUCUUUAGUUACCUUUUCCGGUCCUCUCUUGCAAGCCCUCUCCCUAUCAGCUGAAAAUUAGUGGAUGCAGCUAGAGCUGUGAAACACAUAAAUAAUCAUAAGAUGCCAGAUAAACUGUAUUGGUUUUAAAUUAGAGACGUGCCAACCAUGUCUCCCUCUGAACAGCAGCCUAUUAUUUUUAAUUAUGGCUUGCAAAGUGAUUUCUUGCCCUCUUUACAGCAUCCCUGACAGUAUUGUCAGUUUGGACGAUAUGAUGCCCCAACAGUGCACACAUCCCCAGCCACAGCCCCAACUGUUACUCAAAAGGUGAACAAAAGUGAUCAGUUGCACUCUUUGCAACUUACAUUCUGAAGUGGGCUGGAAAGAAAUGUACCCCCUUACCCAUGAUCCCAUUGUAAAUCUGGGACAAAUACGACAUUUAGAAAAAGGUUUUCACGGUAUCCAGAUGAAUUAAUUAAUGUGUUAUGUAUUUGUGCUAGGUGUGGAUGUAUGAUGAGUAUGUAUGUGUGUGCAUUAAAUGUUUUAACACAGCAUUGCACAUCCUUCCCCUAGCAGCACCGUGGGCAAAGCAUAAACGGAUGAUCUGGCACCAGCCCCAAUUGGGUUUUCUACCUGAUGGACCAUAAUUAAGAGUGGUUGAUUUGUCAGAAGAUUCUUCAAACGAUGUGGUAUCGAAUUACAUUAUAGAUACAUGGAGAAGUCGAGGGGUUGGGUGAAUUUGUUCUUGCACGUUCAGAAGGUACCAUCUUUUUCUCUGCGUGGAAGAGGCGCCUGCCGCGACGUAUUGAUAUGUGUAUUUCUUUUCCAAGCCUGUUCCUAUAUGAGGUGUCAAAAGUCACACCAGCUUUACAAGCGGAGUUUAUGAACUCGUUUUUCCAGGUUACUCACAUUAUGCUUUUUACCGUCAUGUGCUUUCAGCCCAGUACGCUUCGCUAUGCCAAGAUCCAGCUGAAACCGAACCACAUGGGGGAGGCUCGCUACUGCCCAGGCAGUUGAAAUGAUGUCGUUUCGUCGUUCCUUUUCUUACAACUUUGUCUUUCUUCUUGGAUUUCCAGCAACAGGGAGCUGCCACCACCGUGUACUGUGCUGCUGCCCCAGAACUGGAGGGUCUGGGAGGGAUGUAUUUCAACAACUGCUGCCGCUGCAUGCCCUCGCCAGAAGCACAGAGCGAAGAGACGGCCCGGGCCCUGUGGGCACUCAGUGAGAGGCUCAUCCAAGAACGACUUGGCAGCCAGUCCGGCUGAGAGGAGCCCGGAGUGGAUGGGCGCAGACACCCGCCCUGUGUGUGUCCGCUCACGCAAGUGCCAGAGCUGGGCCCCUUCCAAAUGUCCCUCCAACACAGAUCCGCAAGAGUGAAGGAAAUAAGAGCAGUCACAACAGAGUGAAAAAUGUUAAGUACCAAUGGGAAGCAGGGAAUUCCUGGGGGUAAAGUAUCACUUUUCUGGGGCUGGGCUAGGCCUAAGGUCUCUUUGCUUUCUCAUGGGGGCCUGUUUGAAAGUAUAAAACCUGGUUGGUGUGUAGGUUCUGUAUCUCCCUGGAGAAGCACCAGCAAUUGUCUUUCUUUUACUGUUGAAUAGCCUGAGGUCCCCUCGUCCCAUCCAGCUAGCACCACGGCCACCACUGCAGCCCGGGGCUGGCUUUCUCCUACUUAGGGAGGAAAAAGUAACUGUUCACUGCUCCUUGCUGCAUUGAUCCAGGAGAUAAUCGUUUCAUUCAUCCUCACCAAGCCUGAGCCAGUUUAGCAACUGCUGGGGAGACAAAUCCCAGAACCUUGUCCCAGCCAGCCAGGAUGGCGGUGGCACCCAGACAGAGUAGAAUAUGCAGAGCUACCAGGUGGCAAAGUACUUGUCACAGACUCCCUCGCCACUGCUAUACAAAAAAUUAUUUAAAGAUGAUAACAAAUUUUUCAAAUCAUUCCUUAGAUACCUUGAGACUCAGGAAGGGAAGCGUGUGUACUUAAGAAUACACAGGAUCUUUUGAGGGGCGGAGAAUAAAAAGUUAAUCCCUUUGUCCCUCAGUCACAGUCUCCGUUCUCUUGCUUUCACAUUCUGCUGUGCCUCCCAUCCUAUGCUUAAUAAAAGAACAUGCUUGAAUAUGA